GCUUGUCUAGGUGGGGCAUUAGCGAUGCCUUAUAACUUGUGCGCUAACCAAGGCCGAAGACCCAACAAGCGUGCCGAAUUUUACUAUAAUCGGCGUUAGGCGAUUGCGUUGACUGUAAGGACUUGUGCAAUGGAAGUUUUGCGAACCGUGUCAGGAUGGGAACAUAGCAGCACUAAACAAACUCUUUCGUGUGCCACAAAUAAACUUUACAUGAGUAAUCUCUUUCGUUCGUUUGUAAUGAAAUCUCGGGGCAAUUUUGGGGACAAGC
rnacentral:SRP_RNA from 1 species